AUUGAACGCUGGCGGAAUGCUUUACACAUGCGAGUCGAACGGCAGCACGGACUUCGGUCUGGUGGCGAGUGGCGAACGGGUGAGUAAUAUAUCGGAACGUGCCCAGUCGUGGGGGAUAACGUAGCGAAAGCUACGCUAAUACCGCAUACGAUCUACGGAUGAAAGCGGGGGAUCGCAAGACCUCGCGCGAUUGGAGCGGCCGAUAUCAGAUUAGGUAGUUGGUGAGGUAAAGGCGCACCAAGCCGACGAUCUGUAGCUGGUCUGAGAGGACGACCAGCCACACUGGGACUGAGACACGGCCCAGACUCCUACGGAAGGCAGCAGUGGGGAAUUUUGGACAAUGGACGCAAGUCUGAUCCAGCCAUUCCGCGUGCAGGACGAAGGCCUUCGGGUUGUAAACUGCUUUUGUACAGAACGAAAAGGUCUCUAUUAAUACUAGGGGCUCAUGACGGUACUGUAAGAAUAAGCACCGGCUAACUACGUGCCAGCCGCCGCGGUAA
rnacentral:rRNA from 1 species